rnacentral:rRNA from 1 species
CCUACGGGAGGCAGCAGUGAGGAAUAUUGGUCAAUGGCCGAGAGGCUGAACCAGCCAAGUCGCGUGAGGGAAGAAUGUCCUAUGGAUUGUAAACCUCUUUUGUCAGGGAGCAAAGUCACCCACGUGUGGGUGUUGGAGAGUACCUGAAGAAAAAGCAUCGGCUAACUCCGUGCCAGCAGCCGCGGUAAUACGGAGGAUGCGAGCGUUAUCCGGAUUUAUGGGGUUUAAAGGGUGCGUAGGCGGGUUAUCAAGUCAGCGGUAAAAUCGUGGAGCUCAACUCCAUCCAGCCGUUGAUACUGAUGAUCUAGAGUGGGCGAGAGGUAUGCGGAAUGCGUGGUGUAGCGGUGAAAUGCAUAGAUAUCACGCAGAACUCCGAUUGCGAAGGCAGCAGACCGGCGCCCGACUGACGCUGAAGCACGAAAGCGUGGGUAUCGAACAGGAUUAGAUACCCUAGUAGUC